CAAAGCCACCUGAUGGUCAUGACACAUCCAGUAAAUGUUGUAUUGGCAAACAGCCACUUUCUAUAUCACAUAUGCACUGACACAAGUUGGAGUAGAAUGGAACCUGUCCCCUGUUGGCAGAGUCACUGCAAAGGAAUGGAGAGAUCAGUAAUCAUGCCAGCUGGUGUGAUACUUUUUUCAAAAGCAACUUGUAAGUGAUGCCAAGUUAAAGCACUGUGUAUCCCCUAAAAUAUGGC
rnacentral:lncRNA from 1 species